rnacentral:rRNA from 1 species
UGAGACUGACCCAACCUAAUUGGUGGAAGGAGACGGUAUUUUUAUGUAAACUUUCUGUUAAGAAGGAAUAAAGAUCCGGGAUGUAUCCUUGUUUUGUAUGUACCUUUCGAAUAAGCAUCGGCUAACUCCGUGCCAGCAGCCGCGGUAAUACGGAGGAUGCAAGCGUUAUCCGGGAUUUAUGGGUUUAAAGGGUGCGUAGGUUGUUUGAUAAGUCAGCGGUGAAAUUUCUCAGCUUAACUGGGAGACUGCCGUUGAAACUGUCAGACUUGAGUGUAAACGAGGCAGGCGGAAUUCGUAGUGUAGCGGUGAAAUGCAUAGAUAUUACGAAGAACUCCGAUAGCGCAGGCAGCUUGCCAGGCUACAACUGACACUGAAGCACGAAAGUGUGGGUAUCAAACAGGAUUAGAUACCCUGGUAGUCCACACAGUAAACGAUGAAUACUGACUGUUUGCGAUAUAAAGUAAGCGGUUAAGCGAAAGCGUUAAGUAUUCCACCUGGGGAGUACGCCGGCAACGGUGAAACUCAAAGGAAUUGACGGGGGCCCGCACAAGCGGAGGAACAUGUGGUUUAAUUCGAUGAUACGCGAGGAACCUUACCCGGGUUCGAACGGCUAUAGAAUAACGAUGAAAGUUGUUAGCCAGCAAUGGCUGUAGUCGAGGUGCUGCAUGGUUGUCGUCAGCUCGUGCCGUGAGGUGUCGGCUUAAGUGCCAUAACGAGCGCAACCCUUACCGGAAGUUACCACCAGGUCAAGCUGGGGACUCUGCCGGGACUGCCACCGCAAGGUGUGAGGAAGGUGGGGAUGACGUCAAAUCAGCACGGCCCUUACGUCCGGGGCGACACACGUGUUACAAUGGGAGGGACAAAGGGCAGCUACUUAGCGAUAAGAUGCCAAUCUCUAAACCCUCUCCCAGUUCGGAUAGGAGUCUGCAACCCGACUCCUUGAAGCUGGAUUCGCUAGUAAUCGCGCAUCAGCCAUGGCGCGGUGAAUACGUUCCCGGGCCUUGUACACACCGCCCGUCAAGCCAUGGAAGCCGGGGGUACCUGAAGUACGUAACCGCAAGGAGCGUCCUAGGUAA